ACAGGGAUUGCCUCAGUAACGGCGAGUGAAGCGGCAACAGCUCAAAUUUGAAAUCUGGCACUUUCAGUGUCCGAGUUGUAAUUUGUAGAGGAUGUUUCGGCCACGACCCCGGGUUAAAUUUCUUGGAACAGAAUGUCAGAGAGGGUGAGAACCCCGUCUUGACUCGGGCGUACGGGCCGUGUGAAACUCCUUCGACGAGUCGAGUUGUUUGGGAAUGCAGCUCAAAAUGGGUGGUAAAUUUCAUCUAAAGCUAAAUAUUGGCCAGAGACCGAUAGCGCACAAGUAGAGUGAUCGAAAGAUGAAAAGCACUUUGAAAAGAGAGUUAAACAGUAUGUGAAAUUGUUGAAAGGGAAGCGCUGGCAACCAGACUUGAGCGCGGCGGUUCCCCCGGGCUUCUGCCCGGGCUACUCCGUCGUGUCCAGGCCAACAUCGGUUUCGGGGGUCGGUCAAAGGCCCUGGGAAUGUAUCUACCCUUCGGGGUCGACUUAUAGCCCAGGGUGUCAUGCGACCUCCCGGGACCGAGGAACGCGCUUCGGCUCGGAUGUUGGCGUAAUGGUUGUCAGCGACCCGUCUUGAAACACGGACCAAGGAGUCUAACAUCUAUGCGAGUGUUAGGGUGUCAAACCCUCACGCGGAAUGAAAGUGAACGGAGGUAGGAAGCCGCAAGGCCGCACUAUCGACCGAUCCUGAAGUUUACGGAUGGAUUUGAGUAAGAGCAUAGCUGUUGGGACCCGAAAGAUGGUGAACUAUGCGUGAAUAGGGUGAAGCCAGAGGAAACUCUGGUGGAGGCUCGCAGCGGUUCUGACGUGCAAAUCGAUCGUCAAAUUUGCGUAUAGGG
rnacentral:rRNA from 1 species